GACGAACGCUGGCGGCGUGCUUAACACAUGCAAGUCGAACGGUGAAGCGCCUUCCUUUUUGGUGGGUGUGGAUGAGUGGCGAACGGGUGAGUAACACGUGAGUAACCUGCCCCCUUCUUCUGGAUAACCGCAUGAAAGUGUGGCUAAUACGGGUUAUUCUGGGUCUGUCGCAUGAUGGGUCUGGGAAAGAUAUUGUUUCGGUGGGGGAUGGGCUCGCGGCCUAUCAGCUUGUUGGUGGGGUGAUGGCCUACCAAGGCGGUGACGGGUAGCCGGCCUGAGAGGGUGGACGGUCACACUGGGACUGAGACACGGCCCAGACUCCUACGGGAGGCAGCAGUGGGGAAUAUUGCACAAUGGGCGCAAGCCUGAUGCAGCGACGCCGCGUGAGGGAUGGAGGCCUGCGGGUUGUGAACCUCUUUCGCCAGUGAAGCAGGCCUGCCUCGUUUGUGGGUGGGUUGACGGUAGCUGGAUAAGAAGCGCCGGCUAACUACGUG
rnacentral:rRNA from 1 species